AGUCGGUUGGUUGUUUUCUGAAGAAGAAGAAAGGCGCUGCCCAGGAGAAAACACCAAGAAGUUUCCUGCUGUACAUUCUGUCUACAAGGCUGGAAGAAGACACAGUCAGGUGAUGAGGUCCUGCUCCCUGAAGAUGGCUGCACACCUGCCUGUUGCAGAUGUCUUAGAUACUGAUGCAUCUGAGAUUACCAGUGGAUGAAAGACAGCUGUUGACAGCCACCAGCUCCCACUGCAAUGCAUCAGCUGACUCAGCCUCAUCAUUUCAGCAAAAAGGAUUCAGGCCCUUUUCUGCUUUUGUGUCAUGUUUUAUGGGGCUGCCUUAAUUAACAGAGAAUUAACACUGACACAUAGGACUACUGAGGUAAUGCUUAAAGUGAAAAUCCAAAUACCAUCUAAAAAUAAUGAGGCAUAGUGUCAAUUGCAUACCAUGUAGAUAAAAGAAUAUACCUUUGCUAAAGUUAGAGUGGCCAUGGAAGUUAUCAUUAGGUGAUCAAAAAUAGCACACUGGGGGCUGCUUGGGGCUUUUUAGUUGCUAUAUAAAUAAUAUAUAAUAAUAUAGAAAUAACAAAACUUGCAGUGAAAACUAACAGACAGCAAUGCCCAUAGGCUGGCAACAGACACUUUCAUGGUUGGAGUUUUAUACUUAGUGAGGAAGGGAAAAUGGGAACACAUACUCACUGAAGAAUGGCUGUGGAAAUAAAGUAUCCUAAACCCCAAAUGGUACAGAUAUUUGGCUCAGAGAAGUGUUGAAAUUUUUAAAUUGUCAAAGUAUGUCCCAAAACCUAUUUCUGUAGCUGCUUUUAUUUAGUUCUUGCAUGUAGAGUUCCACUGCUUCCAAUGAGAGAUCUGUCAAAAAAAGAU